rnacentral:rRNA from 1 species
UGCAAGUCGAACGCGAAAGUCCUUCGGGAUGAGUAAAGUGGCGCACGGGUGAGUAACACGUAGGUGACCUGCCUUUUAGAGGGGAAUAACCAGAAGAAAUUUUGGCUAAUGCCGCAUACGAAGUACAAAAGUAAAAGUAGUACUUGAAAGGAUGCCUCUGUAUAUGCAUCCACUAAAAGAUGGGCCUGCGGAACAUUAGCUAGUUGGUGGGGUAAAGGCCUACCAAGGCAACGAUGUUUAUCCGGUCUGAGAGGAUGAUCGGACACACUGGAACUGAGACACGGUCCAGACUCCUACGGGAGGCAGCAGUGGGGAAUAUUGCGCAAUGGGGGAAACCCUGACGCAGCAACGCCGCGUGAGUGAGGAAGGACUUCGGUCUGUAAAGCUCUGUUAAUGUGGAAAAAUGGUAGUUGGUCUAAUAGGCCGAUUAUUUGAUGGUACACAUAGAGGAAGCACCGGCUAACUUCGUGCCAGCAGCCGCGGUAAUACGAAGGGUGCAAGCGUUGUUCGGAUUUAUUGGGCGUAAAGCGCGCGUAGGCGGGCCUGCAAGUCAGAUGUGAAAUCUCGAGGCUCAACCUCGAAACUGCGUCUGAAACUACAGGUCUAGAAUCUCGGAGGGGGAAGGGGAAUUUCGCAUGUAGGGGUAAAAUCCGUAGAUAUGCGAAGGAACACCAGAGGCGAAGGCGCCUUCCUGGACGAGUAUUGACGCUGAGGCGCGAAAGCGUGGGGAUCAAACAGGAUUAGAUACCCUGGUAGUCCACGCUGUAAACGAUGAACACUAGGUAUUGGAGGAUUUG